CAUGUCCUUUUGAUUAUAAUUUAAGGUCUAAUCUGCUCAAUGAAUAUAUUUUAAAUUGCCGCGGUAUCUUGACCGUGCGAAGGUAGCAUAAUAAUUAGUUUUUUUAUUGAAAGCUGGAAUGAAUGAUUGGACAAGAAAAUCUCUGUCUCUUAUUUAAUUAAUUUUUAAUUUAACUUUUAAGUGAGAAGGCUUAAAUUUUUAUUAAAGACGAGAAGACCCUAUAGAGUUUAAUAUUGUAGAUAAUAAAUUAAUUUUUGGAAUUUUAAUUAUUUACUUGUUUCAUUAUUUUGUUGGGGUGACAAGAAGAAAAAAUAAACUCUUCUAAUAUUUUAAAUCAAUAAUUUUUGAAUAUGUAAUCUGGUUUUACUAAAUUUAAGAUAAAUUACCUUAGGGAUAACAGCGUAAUUCUUUUUUAGAGUUCUUAUUGAAAAUAGAGUUUGCGACCUCGAUGUUGGAUUAAAAUUUAUUUCUGGUGCAAAAGCUGGAAUAUUGAGUCUGUUCGACUUUUGAAAUUUUACAUGAUCUGAGU
rnacentral:rRNA from 1 species